rnacentral:lncRNA from 1 species
UCAAGAUAUAAAAUAAAUACAGAUUUGUGUUCUUCACAUCCAUGCAAGAAUGGCACUACCUGCAUUGACCAACCUGCUAAUUACUUCUGCCGUUGUGUGGCUCCAUUUAAAGAUUCUUACCAUGAUUUGGCGCCUUGUGAGACUACUGAUCCUUGUGAGAAUGGUGCUGUGUUUGGAAAGAAAAUGGAUCUGGAAAUAUCUCCUCUUGGGUACCAGUGCCAAUGUGCAAAAGGCUUUGCAGGUCCACACUGUGAGGUCAAUGUCAAUGAGUGCAGUUCCAGCCCUUGCUUGCAUGGAUAUUGCUAUGACAUGGUUAAUGGCUUCUCCUGCUUAUGCAAUCCGGGUUUUGCUGGCUUGAGGUGUGAACAGGACAUUGAUGAUUGUAUCCUGAAUGCCUGUGAGCACAAUUCUACCUGCAAAGAUCUUCAUCUCGUUAGUAUCCAUGAAUAUUAUUAACUUAUCUUACUGUGGGAUAGCAUAAAUUAAUCCCUACAAAUACAGUUAACAUUUGUGUGUAUGUCAAGUUGAGAUAUAUAUAUAUAUAUAUAUAUAGAGAGAGAGAGAGAGAGAGAGAGAUUAGAAAACAGAAACUUAAGAAAUAUUAUUUUAACUUAUAUAUUUACUUAUUUAUAUAUAUAUUUACUUAUAUAUUUAACUUAUAUUAUUUUAACUUAAUAAUAAAAAAGUGUUCC